AAAUUGAAGAGUUUGAUCAUGGCUCAGAUUGAACGCUGGCGGCAGGCCUAACACAUGCAAGUCGAACGGUAACAGGAAUCAGCUUGCUGAUUCGCUGACGAGUGGCGGACGGGUGAGUAAUGUCUGGGAAACUGCCUGAUGGAGGGGGAUAACUACUGGAAACGGUAGCUAAUACCGCAUAACGUCGCAAGACCAAAGAGGGGGACCUUCGGGCCUCUUGCCAUCGGAUGUGCCCAGAUGGGAUUAGCUAGUAGGUGGGGUAACGGCUCACCUAGGCGACGAUCCCUAGCUGGUCUGAGAGGAUGACCAGCCACACUGGAACUGAGACACGGUCCAGACUCCUACGGGAGGCAGCAGUGGGGAAUAUUGCACAAUGGGCGCAAGCCUGAUGCAGCCAUGCCGCGUGUAUGAAGAAGGCCUUCGGGUUGUAAAGUACUUUCAGCGGGGAGGAAGGGAGUAAAGUUAAUACCUUUGCUCAUUGACGUUACCCGCAGAAGAAGCACCGGCUAACUCCGUGCCAGCAGCCGCGGUAAUACGGAGGGUGCAAGCGUUAAUCGGAAUUACUGGGCGUAAAGCGCACGCAGGCGGUUUGUUAAGUCAGAUGUGAAAUCCCCGGGCUCAACCUGGGAACUGCAUCUGAUACUGGCAAGCUUGAGUCUCGUAGAGGGGGGUAGAAUUCCAGGUGUAGCGGUGAAAUGCGUAGAGAUCUGGAGGAAUACCGGUGGCGAAGGCGGCCCCCUGGACGAAGACUGACGCUCAGGUGCGAAAGCGUGGGGAGCAAACAGGAUUAGAUACCCUGGUAGUCCACGCCGUAAACGAUGUCGACUUGGAGGUUGUGCCCUUGAGGCGUGGCUUCCGGAGCUAACGCGUUAAGUCGACCGCCUGGGGAGUACGGCCGCAAGGUUAAAACUCAAAUGAAUUGACGGGGGCCCGCACAAGCGGUGGAGCAUGUGGUUUAAUUCGAUGCAACGCGAAGAACCUUACCUGGUCUUGACAUCCACAGAACCCUGUAGAGAUACGGGGGUGCCUUCGGGAACUGUGAGACAGGUGCUGCAUGGCUGUCGUCAGCUCGUGUUGUGAAAUGUUGGGUUAAGUCCCGCAACGAGCGCAACCCUUAUCCUUUGUUGCCAGCGGUCCGGCCGGGAACUCAAAGGAGACUGCCAGUGAUAAACUGGAGGAAGGUGGGGAUGACGUCAAGUCAUCAUGGCCCUUACGACCAGGGCUACACACGUGCUACAAUGGCGCAUACAAAGAGAAGCGACCUCGCGAGAGCAAGCGGACCUCAUAAAGUGCGUCGUAGUCCGGAUUGGAGUCUGCAACUCGACUCCAUGAAGUCGGAAUCGCUAGUAAUCGUGGAUCAGAAUGCCACGGUGAAUACGUUCCCGGGCCUUGUACACACCGCCCGUCACACCAUGGGAGUGGGUUGCAAAAGAAGUAGGUAGCUUAACCUUCGGGAGGGCGCUUACCACUUUGUGAUUCAUGACUGGGGUGAAGUCGUAACAAGGUAACCGUAGGGGAACCUGCGGUUGGAUCACCUCCUUACCUUAAAGAAGC
rnacentral:rRNA from 1 species